UUUGGGCGGCCCAUCAGGCUAUAGUGGACCAAGAAUGCACCGGCUUGUUAUCCUUCCACUGCAGAGAGGAGGAGGUCUUCGCUGCUCUGUGAAGCCAGCCUCACGCGGUGCCCUCCGAUCUAAGGACGGAGAAGCCUCCGCCUUCGCAGAGACUCCACCGUUCAAACUCACCACUUGGAACGGGCAGGCCAGAAGAUAGCACCCCAAGCCCAGCCCUCAGGGCAAGCCCAAUUGUUCCACCAUCUUAUAGCUCCCACUCGGGUUACAGACUCGCGCUACCAAGCCCAGCGAGCAGUACUUCUAGCUACGGCCUUAUUAAGGGAAAAUAUUCUUCAUCCGGUUUCGAUGUGGGAAACUGUGCGAGGUCUGGUUUGGCUUUCAUGGGGAAAAAAUGGGGCAAACAACUAUCGUGUACUCAUGGUUUUUGCGUUGUAUCAUUGUUCACCAAAACUUAGAGACAUAGCUUGGAAGCUUUGCUUCCCUGAAUGGAAUGGCAGAUAUCAUUGGGUUCUGUUCUGCUGGCACCGUCCACUCACACCCUAUAAGCUUUGCUUCAUUUUCAUUCCCAUCUCACAUUAUUUUCGUACGUUUUUAUUAUUUAGUUUAAAAUUUUAAAUUGUGCCGGCUAAUGUUUUAGAAAUGAAUUGAAGUUGCAGCAGCGGUUCGUAUAGAAAAUUGGAAGCCUUGGUGCUAUAUAUGCAAAAUUUAGCAGUUUUGAUCAUUUAUUGAGUUUAGGGAAAAUUAGGGUUGUGAUUUGAGAUUAUGAAUACAUAUUUUUUGUCAUGCUACUUUGUGUACACUUUGAUCCUUUUAUGGAUAAUGGAUAAAUAAUGUAGGUAGUUUACAUAGAGGCAAUUGUAAUGGUGGAAGAGUAUCUCAACUCAGUUUGAAAUUCCUCAGCUUCCUAAUUUUUGCACUGUAUAUACUAAAAUAAUAGGAGUCAAUAUAAAGAUUGCCAUAAUGUUAACAAUC